GGGGGGGGGUGUUCUAAAAUGGGGAAGGGUGUGUGUGGAAGAGAGGAAACCGCAGAGGAGGGAAUUCAGUGAGGGUUGUUUUCUCUUUCUUUCUUUCUUUCUUUCUUUCUUUCUUUCUUUCUUUCUUUCUUUCUUUCUUUCUUUCUUCCCUCCCUCCCUUCUCUUUCUUUCUUUCUUUUUUCUUUUUCUUUCUUUCUUUCUUUCUUUUCUUCCUUCUUUCUCUUUCUUUCUUUCUUUCUUUCUCUCUCUCUCUCUCAUUUUCUCUCUCUCUCUCUUUCUUUUUGCUGGAAUCGCUCUGGUUCUUUGUGGGUUUGCCCGCUGAUUUGUUUCUCCCCCCCCCCUUUCGAUCUUCUUGGAGGCUCAGCGCACAUCACAAAGCCGCUGAAGCCCCUUCGCGGAGAGAGGCUCAGGCUCCCCCACCUCCUCCUCUUCCACUUUCUUUUAUGACUUCUGGAACGGCGUCUCCAGCGCCGAAGGGAAAGGGGAAAGGGAAGUCCCCGCGGCGAGAGUCAGAAAUGAAAAACGAAAAGACUUCCUUACCCGAUCGCUGCCAGGGCGGAGCGGCGAGGAAUCCGGGCGCAUCCCUGUAAUCCAUUGCGAGGCGCCUUCGGUCAGGAGCCGCGUCCAGUUAUAACCUGAAGAGCGGCAGGCGCCAGGCAGAAAAUGGCUUUCUCCAGAUAGGCCUUGUGGGGAUCCAGUAGCCUUGCAGCAUGGAGGAGCAUGGAACUCCAAAGAAGGAAGAAUGAAUGUACCAAGAAUUGCUAAAAAAAAAAAAAAGUCAGGAAAGGGAAACCACUGGCUUUCCAAAGCUCAGCUGAAGCUGGAUAUAUGACUCCGCCACAAUGACUUGUUCCUCUAUUCUUUCUUAGGGUAUUAGCCAUUCAAAAAUCCCUCCUUUUUUUAAAUCACCAUUGCCUAAAUCUUGUUGCAUUGGGUGCUGUUUAUGUACAGUGGAGUGAAAUGAAUCUUUUAGCAAUUGUUGACAGGUUGGUACAUGAUUCUUUUCAAGAAAGAAAAACAAAACACCCCUAAAAAACGAAAUCUUAAUUAGUUGUUGGAAAUGACUAUUUUUAUGUGGACAUAAAGUAGGACUGAAAUCGAAAAGACUUUCUUCUAAGGAAGAUGUUAAGGCUGGAAAGGGAAGCAAAAGAAAUCAUUAUUUUCACUGCCCUAGAUCCAGAAAAGCAAACAAGUGAAAGUCGCUGCAGUAAAUGUUUUUGCCUCUUGUUGUAAACCCAUUAAUGCUUUCUCUCUCUGUGUGAAGUUGUGCGAAAUAAACAUUUAUGGGUCAUA